CCGGAAGUCACGCCCCGGCUUCCGCCCCGCAGCCCCGAGGGGUCUGGGCGCGCUGAAGACCCCUUCGGCUGCUGGGCCAACGCCCCCACCCUUGGUCACGUACUCCUGCCGCCGAGCGGUUCGCGGGAGGUGGCCUCGGGGGUCGUAGCUACUCACCGGCGGGGCGCUCCGAGUCCAUCUGCCCCGUAGCCCGGCAGCCGGGGCGGGAGGGCUGCGAGCCCGGGGCGCGGUCCGCCUGAGGCCUGAGACCCGGGGCCGCCUGCGCUCAGGGCCGCGGUGCCGGCCGCGCGGGAGCCUGGCGGGGACGGCGCGGUCAGUGUUCGGCUCCUCCGCAGUGACUCACCAGCGUCCUGAAGCUUUUGAUCACCAUUGGCUGGGAAGGAAAAACAGAAUCAGCUGUUCCCUGCGAAAGGUGGGACUUGGGCCGCUUUUUUCUUAGAAUCUAGGUUGGAAACGUCGCAUGAUGGUCUUUACGUAAACAGCCGUCUCAACGCUCUACAGAAAGCGCUAACCGCGCAUUUGAAGCCCACCUAGAGUAAAUCAAGAGCGUGAAAGCAUUUUUUUUUUCUGUGUAGGUUAACAUUCCUGCUCCUUCCUUUAAAAAGGAAGCUCAAGGCCAGGCGCGGUGGCUCACGCCUGUAAUCCCAACACUUUGGGAGGCCGAGGCCGACGUAUCACGAGAUUAGGAGGUCGAGACCAGCCUGGCCAACAUGGUGAAACCCUGUCUUUACUAAAAAUACAAAAACUAGCCGGGCGUGGCGGCGCGCGCCUGUAACCCCUGCUACUCGGAAGGCUGAGGCAGGAGAAUCGCUUGAACCCGGGAGGCGGAGGUUGCAGUGAGCCGAGAUCGCGCCUCUGCACUCCAGCCUGGGACAGAGCGAGCCUCCGUCUCCAAAAAAAAAUAAGGAAGCUCAAGAUGAAGAGUCAGAAGUGGUAACUUGUUUGUUGCACAAGAAACAAAUUUAGCAUUCUAUUUAGGGGAUCCAGAUUACCAAAAAAAAAAAAGAAGUGAAGUUAUUUCUGCAUUAAGUAUAUUAAUAAAACUUUAUCACUAAAAACAAUUCUGUAAGAGGAACGCCAAGGAAAAAAAUAUUUGAGUUUUUAGAGAAGUCAUUUUUUAAACUUUUAGAGGUUGUGACAUUUAAGUAACAUAAUUUUAUUUAGUACCUAGUAUGCAAAGACAUUGUACUGGGCAUGGCAGCAAAUAGAAAGCUUUGUAAAUCGCAGUGUCCCAUCUAAUUAACCCGCAUUCUAACAGGUGGUUUUAUUUUUCUGGACCGCACCACAGUCAGGUAACACCAAGAAUAUCGCUAAUGUAAUUUUUUAAGUUGAUAUAUUUAGGAUUCCAUAAAAGUCACUGAAAAUAACUGAGAGCAUGACAUGUCACAAAACAAGGGAAAGAAAUCAUUUUGAGGAUCAGUCGCUUUACAUCUUUUGUAACUAAUUUAAUCCCCAAAGGAAUCCAAUAAAGUAAAAGUUAUUCUAAAUUGAAUUUUAAGCAUGAGAAUGUGGAAAUUACUCGUCAAAAGUCAAAAAUAAUCGUGCAGCAGGGCAAAGACUAAAGGCUGGCAUCAGAAUCCAUAUUCUUUUCACUGUUGAUGUGCUAGGGCUGCAGGAACAAAAUACUGCAAACUAGGCAGCUUAAACAAAUUUAUUGUCAGAGGUCUGACUGGAAGUCCCAAAUCAAGGUAUUGGCAGGGUUGAUUCCUUCUGAGAGCUGUGAUGGGAGCCUGUUAAUGCAUCUCAGCGUCUAGGCAUUCCUUGGCUUGUGGCAGCAUGCCCCCGCCAGUCUUCACAUGACGUUUUCCAUGUCCGUGUCUGUCUGCACACUUAGCGUUCUUUUUAUGAGGACAUCAGUCAUAUUGGAGUACAGUAGACGCUACUUUAAUAUGACCUCAUGUUAACUAAUCAUAUCCACAACAACCCUGUUUCCAAAUAAGGUCACAUUAUAAAAUACUGGAAGUGAGGUCUUUAACACAUGAAUUUGAAAGGGGGACACAAUUUAACCCAUAACACACUGUAUCCUGAAAUAACUAUCCAAUGUAAUUUUUUUAAAAGACACAAAACUAGCCGAAAUUAUAAAAGGUUAUGAUUGCAAUCCUGGUAUCCAGUUACAUUCUCCCUCCUGCAGAAGCUGUGGAGAAUCCUGUCUCAGAAAACCAAUUUCUAUUUUGUCACAUGUCCAUCUAUGCAAAAUACAUGUACUUUGUCCCUGACAUAGGGCAACAAUGCUGAAUUUACUAAGACUCAUUUUUGCGCAUGGUUUGAUAGGGAAUUAAGAUUUACUAGGUAUUCUGUCAUUGUCCUCAUUACUGAUUAUUUUAACUGUGUCUCAAACACUUGGAUAGUACACUAUAGUGUUAUAAGCUGUUUGACAUGUCGCUUCCUAAAUUCUCAAGUUAUAUAUAUGUGUGUAUAUAUGUCAUGUAACAGGCACAACUGUUUUCAUGUGUAUCACUUUAUUGCACUUCACAGGUAUCAUAUGUUUCUUACAAAGUGGAGGUUUGUGGCAGCCCUGCAUGGAGCAAGUCUGUCAGCACCAUCUUUCUAACAGUAUGUGCUCACUUCAUGUCUCUCUCACAUUUUGGUAAUUCUUGGAAUGUUUCCGUUAUUAAAUCAGUUAUAGUGAUCUGUGAUUAGUGAUCUUUGAUAUUACUGUCAUAAUUGCUUGGGGGGCACCAUGAACCACCCCUAUAUAAGACAGCAAACUGAGUCGAUAAAUGUUUUAUGUGUUCUGACCACUGCACUGACCAGCUGCCUCCCUAUCUCUCUCCUUCUGCUCAGACCUCCCUAUCCUUGAGACACAGCAAUACUGAAAUUAGGGGCCAGGCAUGGUGGUGGCUCAUGCCUGUAGUCCCAGCUACUUGGGAGACUGAAGCAGGAGGAUUGCUUGAGCCUAGGAGUUCGAGGCUGCAGUGAGCUGUGAUCACGCCACUGCACUUCAGCAUGGGCAGCAAAGCAAGACCCUGACUCAAAAAAAAAAAAAAAUCAGGCAAUUAAUAGCCCUAAAAUGGCUACUGUUUCAUAAAAGAAUGAGUUGCACAUCUCUUACUUUAAAUCAAAACUAGAAAUGAUUAAUGAUUAAGCAUGGUGAGGAAGGCAUGUUGAAACAGCUAAGUCGUGAAUGCAAAGGAAAAGUUCUUGAAGGAAAUUUGAAGUGCUCCUACAGUGAAUACACAAAUGGUAAGAAAAUAAAACAGCUUUAUUGCUGAUAUGGAGAAACUCUGAGUGGUCUGUAUAGAUUAAACCAGCCACAAUAUUCUGAUAAAGCCUAAUCCAGAGUAAGGCCCUAACUCUCUUCAGUUUUCUGAAGGCUGAGAGAGGUAAGGAAGCUACAGAAGAAAAAUCUGAAGCUAUCAGAGGUUGGUUCAUGAGGUUGAAGGAAAGAAGCUGUCUCUAUAAUACAAAAGUGCAAGAUAGGCCAGGCAUGGUGGCUUAUGCCUGUAAUUCCAGCACUUUGGGAGGCCAAUGCAAGUGGAUCCCUUGAGGUGAGGAGUUCAAGACCAGCCUGGCCAACAUGGUGAAACCCUGCCUCCACUAAAAAUACAAAAAUUAACUGGGUGUGGUGGCACACGCCUGUAGUCCCAGCUACUCAGGAGGCUAAGGCAGGAGGAUCACUUGAACCCAGGAGUUGGAGGUUGCUGUAAGCCAAGAUCACACCACCACACUCCUGGGUAACAGAGUGAGACUCCAUCUCAAAAAAAAAAAUGUGCAAGUGCAAGAUAAAGCAGCAAGUCAUCUAGGAGAUCUACCUAAGAUCACUGAUGAAGACGGCUUUGCUAAACAAUAGGUUUUCAUUGGAGUUGAAACAACCUUAUUUUGGGAAAAGAUGCCGCCCAGGACUGUCAUAACUAGAGAGGAGAAGUCAAAGCCUGGCUUCAGAGCUCCAAAGGACAGGCUGACCCUUGCUAGGGGGCUAGUGCAGCUGAUGACUUUAUGUUGAAGCCAGUGCUCAUUUAUCAUUCUGAAAAUCCUAGAGUCCUUAAGCGUUAUGCUAAUUCUAGUCUGCCUCUGCUGUGUAGAUAGAACAACAAAGCCUAGAUGACAGCACAUCUACUUACACAGUGUGGUUUACUAAAUAUUGUCAGCCCACUGUUGUUGAGACCUACUGCUCAGGAAAAAAAAAAGAUUUCGUUUCAAAAUAUUACUGCUGAUUUACAGUGCUCCUGUUCACCCAAGAGCUCUGAUGGAGAUAUACAAGGAGAUUCAUGUUGAUUUCAUGCCUGCUAACACAACAUCCCUUUUGCAGCCCAUAGCUCAAGAAGUCAUUUUGACUUUCAAGUCUCAUUAUUUAAGAAAUACAUUUUGUAAGGCUAUGGCUGCCCGAAGAUGUAACUGAAUCACUGCACUAGCAUAAUAAAACAUGAAUGGAUAAGCAGUUGCUUCUUGUGGAUGAACAAAGAAAGUGGUCUCUUGAGAUGGAACCUAAUCCUGGUGAAGAUGUGAACACUGUUGAAAUGAUAACAAAGGAUUCAGAAUACUCCAUAGACUUAGUUUAUGAAGUAGCAGCAGGGUUUGAGAGGAUUGACUCUAACUUUGGAAGUUUUCCUGGCCGGGUGCGGUGGCUCAUGCCUAUAAUCCCAGCAUUUUGAGAGGCCAAGGUGGGCAGAUCACAAGGUCAGGAGUUCAAGACCAGCCUGGCCAACAUGGUGAAACCCAAGCUCUACUAAUAAUACAAAAAUUAGCCGGGCAUGGUGGCACACGCCCAUAGUGCCAGCUACUCAUGAGGCUGAGGUAGGAGAAUUGCUUGAACCCAGGAGGUGGAGGUUACAGUGAGCCAAGAUCGCACCACUGCACUUCAGCCUGGGCGAAAGAACGAGACUCUGUCUCAAAAAAAAGUUUUCCUGUGGUUUAAAAAAAAUCUUUCAUGAAAAGAAUUGUCAAUCAACGUGACAAAUUUCAUUAUUGUCUUAUUUUAAGAAACUGCAACAGCCACCCCAACUUUCAAGCACCACCUUGAUCAACAGCCAUCAACAUUGAGGCAAAACCCUCCACCAGCAAAAAGAUUAUGACUCAUUGAAGGCUCAGCUGAUGGUUAGCAGUAAAAAAUAUUAACUUUAAUCAUCUCGACCAUUCAGUACUCAUCUAAUAUUCUCUAUAACAAAAUGGGAAAUGCACAUAAAGCACUUCUGCUACAUGCUGAAUUAUGAUUGUUGUCUCCAGGAAAAGAACUUGUGGGAACGUUUGAGUUGUAAGCUGAACUAACUAGCUGCUUUUUUCAUGAAAUACCGCUUUUACUGGAAAGAACUGACAGAUAAACUGAGGUAUUCAAACCUAGAUAUUUGGCAGACAUUUUCGUGAAAAUAAAUAUGUUCGUGCCACUUCAAGGAACAUAAUUCUCAGUACUUGUUGCCAAUAAUGUUGGAAUUUUCAUGCAAAAAUUCAAAUAAAAAACAAACUUAAAACCAUCAAGAACUUGGUGACUUUAUGUGGAAGCCAGUGCUACAAUACUUUAGCUUCCCAAUACUUAAAAACUUUUCUGAUGAGAUUACUAGUGAUAUUAACAAUGUGAUUGAUAUUGAAUAAUGAAAUGUUUUAGCAUUUGGAAGAUCUGUUUAAUUCAGUAAAUCAGUAUUUUCCAAAUGACCAAUGCAUGACAUUUCAACAUCACGCACAGGAAAAUAGGCAUUCGAGGUACAGUCAAAAAUAAUGAGUUUUAAUGUAACAAGUACAAAAUGUCCAUUGAAGUGGUUUCAAAUUCCAAAUAGUAAUUGGAAAAUCCACCACUCGUGUUUUGGGGUAGUAGUAUCGAAAAAGAAUAACCAAGAUAAUUUGAAAAGGCUAUUAAAAAAUACUUCUCAAUUUUCAAACUGCAUACAGCAGGUGCUCAUUCAUUUCUUUGUAACAUUGAUGAGAAAAAGACUCCCAGCCAGGGGCACUGUCUUUGUGGUGUUUACGUGUUCUCGCCACACCUGCAUAGGUUUUCUCUGGGUGCUGCAGUUCUUGCCACAUCCCAGAGGUGUGCACGUGAGGUGAACUGGUGUGUCUUCACUGUCCCAGUCUGAGUGUGGGUGUGUGAGUGGCCCUGUGAUGGAAUGGCGUCCUGUCCAGGGCUGGUUCCCUCUUUGUGCCCUGAGCUACUGAAACAGGCUUCAGCUACACAUGACCCAGAACUGGAAUAAUUAAGUAAUAAUUAUCUUUUUAUUCAUCUUUCUUAAAUGUAUGUAUAGCUCACAUUUAUUUCAAUGUUUAAUAUUAGAAUACUUUGGCCUUUAGAAGCUUAGUGAUUUUUUUUUUCCUUGGCCAGAAGUAUGCUUUAGGAACUUAAUCCUUAUUUUUUAGCCUCUGGUAAAAUUGGUUUUGCUAUACGUUGUUUCACUUAAAAGUCCUGAUUCCCAAGAACGCACUGACAGCAGUGAGGACUUGCUGCGCAUGCGGGAGGCCAGAUUUUCUUAUCUGUGUGAAGCCAGACAUGAAAGAGAUCUGUCAACACAUAAAACAAAAUCAAAGUCUGUUUUUUGUCUGGAAAAGAUUUUUAAUAAAAAUAUAACUUAUGUUAGUGUCGUGUGUUUUUUAAGUGAAUAUUUUAAUAUGUUUAAUUUCUAUGUUAGUAAAUAGCAGUAGUAAACAACAG
rnacentral:lncRNA from 1 species